GGGGGGGCAUUCCUAACACAUGCAAGUCGAACGGUAACAUUUCUAGCUUGCUAGAAGAUGACGAGUGGCGGACGGGUGAGUAAUGCUUGGGAACUUGCCUUUGCGAGGGGGAUAACAGUUGGAAACGACUGCUAAUACCGCAUAAUGUCUUCGGACCAAACGGGGCUUAGGCUCCGGCGCAAAGAGAGGCCCAAGUGAGAUUAGCUAGUUGGUAAGGUAACGGCUUACCAAGGCGACGAUCUCUAGCUGUUCUGAGAGGAAGAUCAGCCACACUGGGACUGAGACACGGCCCAGACUCCUACGGGAGGCAGCAGUGGGGAAUAUUGCACAAUGGGGGAAACCCUGAUGCAGCCAUGCCGCGUGUGUGAAGAAGGCCUUCGGGUUGUAAAGCACUUUCAGUUGUGAGGAAAAGUUAGUAGUUAAUACCUGCUAGCCGUGACGUUAACAACAGAAGAAGCACCGGCUAACUCCGUGCCAGCAGCCGCGGUAAUACGGAGGGUGCGAGCGUUAAUCGGAAUUACUGGGCGUAAAGCGCACGCAGGCGGUUUGUUAAGCUAGAUGUGAAAGCCCCGGGCUCAACCUGGGAUGGUCAUUUAGAACUGGCAGACUAGAGUCUUGAAGAGGGGAGUGGAAUUCCAGGUGUAGCGGUGAAAUGCGUAGACAUCUGGAGGAACAUCAGCGGCGAACGGCGACUCCCUGGACACAGACUGACGCUCAUGUGCGAAAGUGUGGGUAGCGAACAGGAUUAAAAACCUGGAAGACCACUACCUACACGCUGCCUCUACCUGUGUGGUGUCUUUAAUAGGUGCGUAGCGAAGUUAACGGCUUAGUAAACCGCCCGGGGGAGUAGGCCGCAGGUAUUAAACUCAAAUCAAUGGAUG
rnacentral:rRNA from 1 species